GCUCUCUCGCUCCCUCUCUCGCCAACACCGUCCAUCCUUCAGGGACCCCUGGACCUGCUGGAGCCGGCCUCCGGCAAGCAGAACCCAAACAUCGGACCUGAAAGCAUAAUAUUUUGGAGGCCUCAGAGAGAUUAUGGAAACCCCAGACCUCCAAAUUCCUCUCAUUUGCCUGCACCCUCCUUGGCUCCUGAAGAUGUCCUGGGACCUGGGAAAACACUCUUGUCUUUACUGCCACCCCCAAAACGGCCCCAGUUAAUCUGUGGAAGUCAUCUUUCCUAACCUCCGGAGAUGAGGAAACUGGUACACAACUGUACAGCUUCUAAAUGCAGCAGGAUUUGAACUCCACUGUGUGACUCCAGAGCCCAUAGCUCUUAACCAUUUCCUGACCUGAAGGAAGCAAACUCAGAGCAAAGUGGCGACUUAAAUAAAUGGUAAGAAGGAACGAUUAUACUGUUUGGGGAUUUGGAGAAAAAAGAGCUAGGAAAGCCUAUGCAGAUGGUCAUCCAAAUCUGUUUAAGCACUUUAAUAUAGACAAGAUCAACUUUUGUUCUGGGGAUGAAAUACCAUCUAGGGUCCAUGCUUUGUGUACUGCUCCAGCACCCUGGAGGCUCCGAGUGCUCUCUGCGACUUGGCAUUCCCUACUGUGGCUUAUUCGAGCUGUCUGUCACUGCCAAUGCUGUGCUCUGGCGUUAGGUCCCGUGGUGGCAUUUGGUGCUAUUGCAGAGAUCUGGGCUAUUAUCAUUCAUGAUGGUAAUGGGCAGGUUGGACUUUACCUGCCCUUAUAGAAUUGAAUUUACUGUCCUGAAGUGCACUGCAUCCGCUUUUCAUUCCCCUCCCUUCAUCUCAUCACUUAGGCGUUUGAUCAUCUCACAUCAUCACAGGAAGAAGGGUGAGUACAGUACAGGAAGCUAUUUUGAGAGAGAGAGCAUACUCAUAUAGCCUUUAUUACGGUAUAUUGUUAUAAUUGUUCUAUUUUUUAUUAGAUAUUGCUGUUCAUCUAAUUUAUAAAUUAAAUCUUGCAGGUACUGUAAGCAAAAAACACGGUAUAUACAGAGGUCGGUCUAUCUGCAGCUUCAGGCAUCCACUGGUUGGUGCGGGGGGGUGUGACUAAAGUCGUGUUUGCUUGCUUAUUUUUGCCUUUGUUGCCCUUGCCUGAGGAGACAGAUUCUGAAAAUAUCGCUAAAACCGAUGUCCAUGAGUUUACUGCCUCUGUUUUCUUUUCUGAGUGCUACCUUGAAAAGAAAAUCCCACCCGGUUACUUCUCUACUCAGAACCCUGCCCUGGCUCCUCAUUUACUCAGCAUAAACCUGACUCUUGAGACCUUGCAUGAUCUGACCCCCUUCUGCAGCUCCGCUCUCUCACCUCUUUCCAUGCAGCUCCAGCCACCCUGGCUUCCCGAUGUUUCUGGAACAUGUCAGGCACACCCCUACCUUAGGACGUUUUUACAGAUUGUACUUUAUACUGCUAACUCCCUUACCUCCUUUAACUUUUCAACCUUCUCAAUGAGACCAGCCUGAACACCCUAUUUAAAAUGGCAGCCCAUCACUGGCCCUGCCUGGCACCCCGUAUCCUCCUUACCCUCCAGUAUUUCUUGUUUCCUAUGGCAUUACUAAUGUAUACUUACAUAUUUAUUUUAAGGUUAUUAUUCAUUAUCUGCUACCUCUAGAAUAUAAUCUCCAUGAUGGCAGAGAUCAGUGUCUGCUUUUGUUCACUGAGGCAUCCUAUGUAUGUCAGACAGGGAAUGGCAUGCAGCAAGUGCUCAAUAAAUGUAUAUCAAGUGAAUUCUGUCUAGAACCUUAUUGGAGACUGGUCAUCAGAAUUCAACAUCAUAGCCAAGCCUCACUUGUCACAGUGUCCUGAAUUCUGUUCCAUCUCACUAGGCUUUAGCUUCUUUAGGUAAGCCACAUAGUACAUGGAUGCUUUAGAAGGAAAGAAUCGCAGGUGGGCAUGGGCACACUGUAGGAAAAGAAUUCUUUCUGUCACAGUAUUGGGCACCUGAACAGGCACAGUCUGGCCUGCACUCAUCUUUUCUUUCGUGUUGCUCAGUACAAGCAAUGGCCCAGGGCAGGUGACAAGGGGGCACCAUCUUUGAACCAGAUCACCUAGGUCUGUUGCCUGCUGCUACCACUCACUAGCUGUAAUUACUAAGGGGAAUUUUCUUAACCUUUCUGUGCUUCAGUUUUCUCAGUUGGCAAAUGGGGAUAAUAGCUGUACUGACAUCAAGUAUCAUCUAAGGAUUAAAUCAGCUAAUACAAGGUAAAAAACGUAAAACAAUGCUUAGAUAUAAGAAACGUUGAAUAAUUUUAGCUAAUAUCAGUAAAACAUGUAUUUAUAUUUUAUAUUUAUAAUUAUUUUGGUAAUUUAAUGGAAAUCUUAACUUUUAUAUUCAUAGGCAUUCAAAUAGUUAUAUAGUAUUCAAUAUAUAGUAGAGUACUUAAUACCAUCUCAAAACCCCACACAUGAGCUUUUAUUCUUUUUCCAACUUUUUAUUUGAAUUCCAGCUAGUAAACAAUAUUAGUUUCAAGUGAAGAAUUCAGUGAUAACACAUGAGCUUUGGUAAGUGAUUUAUGGCCCCAGAGAUGGUCUAAAGAUAGGGGCUUGUGACCAUGUGGGCUCAUUAGGACUGAGCAAGUAAGCUAUUUGUAGAGCACCAUGCUAGCAGGAGCAUCAGGGAAGGUACAAGAAGUAGGGAUGUUUUACAUCUCUCCUAAUUUAAGAGCCCUGAAAGAGAGUGUUUGGGAAAUUAUCUCUAAAGAUGACUCCAACAUUGCUCAGAUAUGGCCGGAGUCACAGUCAAUUAAAACUGAAGGCUUUACUAAUCCUAAUUGCUGUACAGAAGGAAGAAAAAACAAACAAACAAACAAACAGAAAAAAGAAAACAUCAGACAGAGAUGUACCUUCAGUAAAGGUCCUUAGAGUCCAAACUCCAUAAGACAGCAUCAAAAGGAAUAACAUAUCCAACUGACAGCUGAAUGCUAAAAUAAAACUGUGUAAUUUGAAGUUCAUGGCCAAGAGAUUAGGUAUUUUAAAUAUUCUGGGAAUAUCUGUGUUUCUGGGUAAGAGAUGAUAACAGUCUUUAACGAGACAAUAAGAUCCCUAGUCUUUAUUAAUUUAAGCUAUACCAUUAAUUUCUUUAUUUCUAAACUCUUAAUUUAAACUUACAGAAAAUUUACAAAAAUAGCAGAGAGUUCCUGUAUAGCCUUCACCAAGUUACCCUUAAUGUUAACAUUUUCCCUGGCACAAGGAAAUCACCACUGUCUUAAUACUAUUAAGUCAACGAUAACUCAUUCAUAUUUUGAAACUUUUUCCAUUAAUGUCCUUUCUGUGUUUCAGGAUCCAAUCUAGGAUUCUUUACUACAUUAAAUUAUCAUGCCUCCUUAACUUCCUCCUAUCUGCAACAAUUCCUAUAUCUUUCCUUUUCUUUCAUGACUUUGACAAUUUUAAAGAGUACUGGUCAGUUGUCUGGUAGACUAUCCCUCCAUUUGGCUUUCUGAUUUUUUUUUUCAUACUUAGAUUGAGGGUAUAUGUUCUGGGCAAGAAUGUCAGAGAAGGGACGCCCUCUCAGAGCAUCCUGUAAAGUAGCAGAGAAUGAAAGUGACUUACUGCUGGUGGCUGACGCUAACCUUGGUCACUUGGAUGAGGUGGUAUCUGCCCAAUUUUUCCACUGUGAAGUUACUAUUUUUCUCUCUGUAAUUGAUAAAUUUCUUGGGGGUGGGGAGAUACUUUGUUACUAUGAAUUAUCCUUAUUCUCUUCAAACUUUGCCCACUAAUCGGUGGAUCUUGCCGGUAUUAGUUAUUACUGCAGCAUUUGACUAAGUGAUUUUUUAUUUCUCUCAUUCCUUCAACAUUUAUUAAUUAAUGGGAAGUCUUCUGUAUAAAAGAUGCCAUUCUCUUCAAGUAAGAAAGAGGCAGUUGUAUACACGGAGUCUGGAUGAAAGAGAAUAGACUUUAGAGUUAAACUGCCCUCUUUUGGAAUGCAAACUUUUCAACUUAGUAGAGCAAGUAUUCAGCAAGGAUUCUAUCAUCAAAUCAUCAUCAUCAUCAUCAUCAAAUUAACAUUUGCCUCAUACAGAACAAUUCCUUAGUUUGGUUUAGAAUUGUUAAAACAGUACAAAUCAAGAGGCAUUCCUUCUAUCUUUCUGCCUGGACUUCUUCCAUAAAGGGACUGCAUGGAGACCACUCUGCUUUGUAUCCUGACGCUAUCAAGCCCCCAUGGAUACUACAUGCUUGCCCACACGUCGUUUCUAAAGAAUUUCAUGCCCAGGAGUAUUGGGUGUAACCAGAAGUAGAUCUGUUAACUCACCAAAGUGUGUGAACAGUUAUUUUGGGGCUUGCUUCUGGUUGCAUUCUGCAGUUUAAAUAGUAGCACUAACCCUAAAUAUAUAACAAGCAAUCCUCUACAUUUCAGAAUAGCUACUUGCGCUGCCUACACUGUGAGACUUGUCUUUGCGAUGUAGACAGUGUAGAGCUAUGGUCUUCCAACUCACUAUCAACUGAAGCAGGAGGUUUCCUUAGCAAUGGAAUACAUUUUGCUUUCCUUGAGUUUUUCCUACUAGAAAUGUGUAAAGUAGCUUUUAGUAAUUGUCUGAUAAUCAGCACCGUAAUCUUAUUUAUUGUCCGGGAAGCAGGGAAGGCAUAGCAAACUGCAAAGUUCAAAUCAGUAUGCCCCUCUCAGUUGCAGCCCAACGUUUAAAAAAAAAAUCAGUCAAAUUUCUAUUUGCAAUUGUAUUAUUAUUUAACUUUUACCACUUGAUGAAAUAUUGGGGCUCUUCUAACACACGCCCAGAAGGAGUAAAGGAAUGUCCUGUUUGGUCUUCCCACCUUAGACAGCUUGCCUUCUAUACCUUAUUCAUCAGCCACAUAUUUUUGAAAUUAUUCACAUAUAUUAUGUUAAAACACCCAGAUAUUCAAAGAUCAAACAGUGGGUCUCCCUGUGUCUUGAUUACUACCACAAAAAUGCUUUCCCUUCCAAGUAAAAACUGAUAAAAAGUGAAUGAAAAAGCCCAAGUCACUACAACACUCCAUGAACUUUGCUUUGUGGUCAAUUCUCCAAACACUGGUUAGUGGCUAAUGGAAUCUGGUUGUGGUUCUAGGUCAUGACAUGCUGCCAUCACUGUGAGCUUUAUCACAAGCCAUCAGUUACUAACUGUACCUAACAUGCCAAAGUUUAAGAAUGAUUUGCUUUUGAAAAAUAAGUCAAGGGAGAUAAGCUUUCCUGAAAGGGAGGGGGAAGUAGAACUGUAGCUAGAAUCGAGACAAAUUUGUGGAACAUAUAGUCUUUGUUAUCUUUUUUUAACAGUGGAAAUGACUCAGUAUGGGAGUAUUGACCUGUGAGCAUCAUCCUUUAUGUGACACUGUAGGAUGGCCAUUAUGGAGGGAUAUUGGACCUUUUCUAUUUAUGCUGUAGGCUUGCACCACACACGUAUGUGUAUUUCCCUUAUAGGAACUCAAUUUAUGCACUACUUGACAAUAGGGGUAGAUUAGAUUACUGACCCCAAAAUAUUUAACCUCCUUACCCCAACAUAGAAGGACUUUGUUUCCCAGCACCUGUCACAUUGGGAUUCGCUAUAUGAUCUACUCUGGCCUCAUGCUACAUAAGGUAUAUAUAUUUCCAAAUUCUUUGCCUUUAAGUUUAGCAAUAGUAUUUGUUUUGACCAGUGAGAUAUUAGCAGACAUGAAGCAAGAAGAGGCUUCAAACGUUCUUGUGCAGUUGGAUUUGCCUCUUGUGCCCUGUCAUUGCAAUGACAGCCCCUGCAGCCUGCAACAGACACUGAUGGAGCAGACUUGAACCUAACCUGUAACAAGGAAUCAAUCUCAGAGGAACCUGUACUGUGAAACAGCACUGCCCAGCUGGGUCCAGCUGAGAUCAGUCUGUCCCCAGCCAACCUGCAGAGACAUGUGUGAGAAUAAUUGAUAGCUCUUAUAAGUCAUGGAGUUUUGAGUGGUUUGCUAUCCAGUAAUAGCUGGCAGAGUAAUAAAGAAAAAAGGGAAAAAAGAAGAAACCUCAAUAUAAAGGGUGCUCAAUGAAUGAGUACCAGGAGCGAGUGUGAGAUGAGAAUCUUGAAUCUAUUUUUCCUUAAUAGUUCUCAAUUCCCACAAGCAUCUCCCAGGGUGAGUAUCAACCCCAUGGAGUGUGAUUUCAGAGUUUAAAGAGAAAUACUUUUCCUACAAAUGGCUCCCUAAAUGAGAGUCACAUGUGUAGACAUCAAAGCAUACACAAUAUACUUAAUGAAUAAUAAUAACAAUAAAGACUUAAAGAAUAAUGCCAACCCCUUGUGCAGUUUUGACAUGCACUGACCUUAGGAAAUAACCCCACAAAUCAUACAGCUCCAUUGUUCGUGUCUUGAAGAACCACAUAUGAAGACAUUUUGCAGGGCUGGUAUAGGGCAACUGCUAAGGAAAAAUCUGUUUUCUGUGCGGUUAACUGUUUACAAUUAAAGUAUUUCAGGCAUGAAAGAAGACAUUAAAGGAGAAAUUCUUGGCAGCCAAGUCUCCAUACAGAGCCACUACAGUUAUAGCACUCACUCUUAAAAAAAAAAAAAACUUAAAAAUUAUAUAAUGCAUAGGAUGAAACUUAAACCUUACUAUAAUUCUGUGGGUAAAAAGUACUGCCAUCCUUAUUUGACUUAUUUUGCAAACAAGGAAACAGAAGUUCAGAGAGGUUGAAGGUCUUUUCAAAAGUCACACAGCUGAGACUGGUAAAAGGGCCAGGACUCAAACCCAGGUCUUCCGAUUCAGAUCCCAUGUUCUUCCUGUAACAGGGAGUUAGCAUGUCUGACUCCAUAUUGCUUCUAUUUCCCUUGCUGCAGUGACCUAUAGCUUAGAACCUUCAACUUUACCCUACAUGUAAGCAUGUUAAUUGUUGAAGGAAUUUUGCUUACAGCUGAGAUUUGCAAAAAACCUGCUCUUUUACCCAAUACUUACCUCACUCAAGAAAAUAAGGAUACAGAAAUGACUGUGCUAUUUUUAAGAUUUGCAGGAAGGACACUACCAGAUUCCUGUAGGCAAAGACGAACUCUCCAACGACAAAGAAGACCUUUCUCAGAUGUCCAUAAAUGCCAGUUAUCUUUUGACUCCAACUCCCUCCCACGUCCCCCCUUCUAACAUAAGAGAAGCUCAAAUCUUGUGCUGGGAGAGAUGGUUCUUUGGGACAAUAGUCCACCAUCUCCUCAGUUUGCUGCCUUUCCACACAGAGUGACUUUGCUCACCCCUGCAUCUUGCCUCUGAGCGUACUAGCCCAUCGCAUGGCAAGCAGAACGAGCUUGCAUUGCCACCACAUGGCAUAGGAGGGCAACCAUAAUACAACCAGAUUAGAAAGCCCAGGGUCUUCCUAGUGUGAAACACUAGACAAAUUAAAAGGUUAAAAACAAAAAGCCUUAUUAGAUUGGAAGUCCUCAGUCAAUAGCAGUUCAUACUCUUCUGAGUGGAAAUGAAAAACAUAUGGAGUCAGAGGCUCAAAGACAGAAAUAAAAGCUGCAACCUAAAAACAACAAAAAACAGGAAAGAUUUCCAAUGGAGCUGCUUUUUGCAAGGACAACUCUCUGUCAUAGGUUCCAUAGUGAGAGGAAUAGACAGAGAGCAGGAAUUGAUUUUUUUAAUAAAUAAUUGUUAAUGGUUCUCCAUAGAAAUACCAACUAAAUCACCAAGUACAAUAAUUACAUAUGUUUAUAUGAUUCUCUAGGGCAUUAUGUCCUUGCCUCUAACACUGGCAUAGAAUUUGAUUCUUCCAGAAUGUUCUCCUUGAUUAAGCACCACUCACCCUCCCAAGCCCUGACAGCCUGCUAACACAGGUAUAUACAAAACUCUCAUAAUAUCAACAUGUACCUUUGUGAAAUGUACUUAAAUUGCCUACACAUAUACACCUGUGUACUACCCUCUGGUAUAUCUAGAAUCUCUGUGUGAUUUUAAUCAAGAGAUAAUUAUUAAUUCAUUGACUGUGGGUACUUGGAUAAUGUAGAAUAGCAAAUGGGGAGACAUGAUAUCAGAAUCUGGGAUAUAAAAGGAAACUUGCAGUUGACCUGUAUUUGCAAGUACUCACAACUGAGCUGCUGAUUCUUUUCAAUGUUUGCCUCAUAGACUGUCUAUUUAAGCAGUGGAGACAAACACAUGAAACACAACAAAGCCAUUCUUACACAAACUUUUACUCAACCAUAUAGGAAUACAAAGGCAUGGGGUGCCUGGGUGGCUCAGUCAGUUAAGCACCCAACUUUAGCUCAGGUCAUGAUCUCACAGUUCAUGAG